rnacentral:misc_RNA from 1 species
GAUGAAGAACGCAGCGAAAUGCGAUACGUAGUGUGAAUUGCAGAAUUCAGUGAAUCAUCGAAUCUUUGAACGCACAUUGCACCUCUCGGUAUUCCGGGAGGUAUGCCUGUUCGAGCGUCAUUUGUACCCUCAAGCUCUGCUUGGUGUUGGGUGUUUGUCUCGCCUUUGCGUGUAGACUCGCCUUAAAAUAAUUGGCAGCCGGCGUAUUGAUUUCGGAGCGCAGUACAUCUCGCGCUUUGCACUCAUAACGACAGCGUCCAAAAGUACAUUUUACACUCUUGACCUCGGAUCAGGUAGGGAUACCCGCUGAACUUAAGCAUAUCAAUAAGCGGAGGA